GCCCUCUUGGCUAAGUGGUUAAAGCGCGGCACUUGUAUACUGAUUGACAUGCCGAGAUCACUCGUUCAACUCGGGUAGUGGGCA